AAGGCGGACCUAGGGCUCUCGGUGGAGGAGAUCGAGAUGGCGCUCGCGUCGAACAACCGCAAGCUAGCUCGCAUCCACGUCGCCCUUUUGAAGGCUAUUAUCCAAGAACACAAUGAUGCAUUGCUGGAAACAACAAAUGAAAUCCAAAGGAUGCCCAAGAAUGCAGAUUCAGUCCAUCUGAUGGAAACACAUUCAGGAUUUCUUCCUACCAUUUCUGAUGAUGUGCAUUUUAUGGAAGUCCUGAAGGUUCAGAACUGUGAAACUCCUAGGUCUCAUCAGAGCUCGACUGUACCAGAUGCAAUGAGAUGCCACUGACAAGCUCCAGCCUCAGCCACAACAGCAAGCUCAAGCUUGCCCCAUCCCGACAGCAACCUCAUGACUGCCACAUCCAGCCACGGUGUGCUACGAGGGAUGAGACGGUACUACCAGGGUUACCUAUGUGGAUGUGGUGCCAGAAUGUACAGCUGGACUGGAGGCAUCAAAAGUAUUUAAAAUUUUUUCUCCAUCAUCCACCUAGUGUUAGAUGGUACAAGGUAAAAUGCUCAAAUGCUCAAGGUUCAGCACCUAGAACUUCAGCUUAAGGCGGUAUCUCCUGGUACCAGUUACCCAGUUCGCGCCACUUACAUGACUCGGUGGUGAAGGGGUACUGGGGUGUAUUGGGUAGGAGGUUGUAUGGAGUAUUAGUAAGGCGGAAGAGGAAUGUAUGUAGUAAAUAAUUUAUAUAUUAAUUGAAG